CAUGCUCAGACGACGCUGCGCGUGCUACACAUGCAAGUCGAACGGAAAGGCCCUGCUUGCAGGGUACUCGAGUGGCGGACGGGUGAGUAACACGUGGGUGAUCUGCCCUGCACCUCGGGAUAAGCUUGGGAAACUGGGUCUAAUACCGGAUAGGAGCCAUCUAGUGUGGUGUUGGAAAUUUUUUCGGUGUAGGAUGAGCUCGCGGCCUAUCAGCUUGUUGGUGGGGUGAUGGCCUACCAAGGCGGCGACGGGUAGCCGGCCUGAGAGGGUGUACGGCCACAUUGGGACUGAGAUACGGCCCAGACUCCUACGGGAGGCAGCAGUGGGGAAUAUUGCACAAUGGGCGCAAGCCUGAUGCAGCGACGCCGCGUGGGGGAUGAAGGCCUUCGGGUUGUAAACUCCUUUCGCUAGGGACGAAGCUUUUUGUGACGGUACCUAGAUAAGAAGCACCGGCUAACUACGUGCCAGCAGCCGCGGUAAUACGUAGGGUGCGAGCGUUGUCCGGAAUUACUGGGCGUAAAGGGCUCGUAGGUGGUUUGUCGCGUCGUCUGUGAAAUUCUGGGGCUUAACUCCGGGCGUGCAGGCGAUACGGGCAUAACUGAGUGCUGUAGGGGUAACUGGAAUUCCUGUGUAGCGGUGAAAUGCGCAGAUAUCAGGAGGAACACCGAUGGCGAAGGCAGGUUACUGGGCAGUUACUGACGCUGAGGAGCGAAAGCAUGGGUAGCGAACAGGAUUAGAUACCCUGGUAGUCCAUGCCGUAAACGGUGGGCGCUAGGUGUGAGGGUCUUUCACGACUUUCGUGCCGUAGCUAACGCAUUAAGCGCCCCGCCUGGGGAGUACGGCCGCAAGGCUAAAACUCAAAUGAAUUGACG
rnacentral:rRNA from 1 species